GACGAACCGAGCGAACGUUGUUCGGAAUCACUGGGCUUAAAGGGCGCGUAGGCGGGCGGUCAAGUCGAGGGUGAAAGCCCCCAGCUCAACUGGGGAAGUGCCUCCGAUACUGGCCGUCUCGAGGGGGAUAGGGCGUGCGGAACUUCCGGUGGAGCGGUGAAAUGCGUAGAUAUCGGAAGGAACAUCGGUGGCGAAAGCGGCGCGCUGGAUCCCGUUCUGACGCUGAGGCGCGAAAGCCAG
rnacentral:rRNA from 1 species